rnacentral:pre_miRNA from 1 species
GUUCUACUCCCUCCGUCCAACAAAAGAUGUCUUAAGUUUGUCAAAAUUUGGAUGUAUCUAGACAUGGCUUAGUGUAUAGAUGCGUGAGACAUCCUUUGUUGGACGGAGGAAGUAGUUU